rnacentral:snoRNA from 1 species
CCCCUCUCAGGGUCGCAUCUGGAGGGUUUCCAGUACUCUACCAGUCUCGGCUACAGGAGGGAGAGUCAAGAAGAGGCCUGCCCAUUCCAUUCCUAGCUUGGGCAGUGGCCAGCGAGUGGCAGGCAAUCUGCUACAAGU